rnacentral:ncRNA from 2 species
GGGGGGAGUAUGGUCGCAAGGCUG